rnacentral:rRNA from 1 species
UACGGGGGGGGCAAGCGUUGUUCGGAAUUACUGGGCGUAAAGGGCCCGUAGGCGGCCAACUAAGUCGGAUGUGAAAUCCCCAGGCUCAACCUGGGAACUGCAUCCGAUACUGGAUGGCUUGAAUUCGGGAGAGGGAUGCAGAAUUCCAGGUGUAGCGGUGAAAUGCGUAGAUAUCUGGAGGAAUACCGGUGGCGAAGGCGGCAUCCUGGACCGACAUUGACGCUGAGGAGCGAAAGCCAGGGGAGCAAACGGG